GAUGAACGCUGGCGGCGUGCCUAAUACAUGCAAGUCGAGCGAACGGACGAGAAGCUUGCUUCUCUGAUGUUAGCGGCGGACGGGUGAGUAACACGUGGAUAACCUACCUAUAAGACUGGGAUAACUUCGGGAAACCGGAGCUAAUACCGGAUAAUAUUUUGAACCGCAUGGUUCAAAAGAGAAAGACGGUCUUGCUGUCACUUAUAGAUAGAUCCGCGCUGCAUUAGCUAGUUGGUAAGGUAACGGCUUACCAAGGCAACGAUGCAUAGCCGACCUGAGAGGGUGAUCGGCCACACUGGAACUGAGACACGGUCCAGACUCCUACGGGAGGCAGCAGUAGGGAAUCUUCCGCAAUGGGCGAAAGCCUGACGGAGCAACGCCGCGUGAGUGAUGAAGGUCUUCGGAUCGUAAAACUCUGUUAUUAGGGAAGAACAUAUGUGUAAGUAACUGUGCACAUCUUGACGGUACCUAAUCAGAAAGCCACGGCUAACUACGUG
rnacentral:rRNA from 1 species